UAUGUUUUGAAAUUUAUUAUUUUACUUUAAAUUAGAAAUUGUCUGGAAAUCUGAAAACAUUUAACUUUAACUCUUUGACCUCUUACAAAAGUGUAUAAAUAGGUCAUUUGAAUUACAAAACACACAUAGGAAACUGAUAACUUAUUAUUUAUUACCAAGCUAAUGACUGGCAAACUUUACAAAAAUGAAUUUGAAAAAAUUUACUACGAUUAAAUUAAAAACAUACAGGAGAAACAUGAAACUUUUAGGCAUCCAUACUAUUUUUAUAAAAUAAUUUUUUUAAGUUUAUAUUGGUCAGUGUAACAUAAGGUGUUGUCUUAAAUUUGCAAGCAAGAACCACUUUAAGGAGCCAAAAAAGCUGACCGACCCACACCGACAAUCUCCUCUACACAAGAGGGUGCAUCAAGUACUUACUAACCACACAAUUGCAGCAACACAGCAGACUUAGGUAGAUUCAAGCUUAUUCAGGAUAUAAUUAUAUUAACUUGAAACAAAUUUUUAACGCUUAUGUUGUAACAUUUUCAAACUCUAGUCAUUCAUAUUGCAACAUGACAUAGAUGCGCCAAACAAUUCAAAUGUAAUGUAUGUGGCCAGAUUUUUGCUACAAGGAAAAGACACCAUGAACUCAAAAGACACAAUCAGCUUCAGCUCAGAUCGGGUGUAAAACCAAUAUAUAUGAGGCAACAGGACACCAAUAACUGAAAUAAUGAACAAACAGUAACUAUAGAACUAACUAGAAGUGAUACAAAUGAAAAUGCGUCUUUACCUAUGAUAUCACGACUUCACCUGCUGCUUAUACCACUGUAUUCUAGCCUUGAACUUGAACCAGGAACAAUGAAGAAAUUGCAUUAUAGAAUUCAUUAAAAAUAUUUUUGUAACCUUAUAAAAGUGGAAUAUUCAAGAUUGUAAUUGAAUAUUUAAUAAAUAAAUAAAGUUUUCAAGCAGUUUUUUUAAACCUGA